GAUUAACGCUGGCGGCGUGCAUAACACAUUCAAGUCGAACGGUGAGGGGGCUUCGGCCCCUGAUCAGUGGCGGACGGGUGAGUAACGCGUGAGCAACCUGCCCUUGUGUGGGGGAUAACGUUUGGAAACGGACGCUAAUACCGCAUAACCCAAUAGUACGGCAUCGUACAGUUGCGAAAGAUUUAUUGCCAAAGGAUGGGCUCGCGUCUGAUUAGGUAGUUGGUGGGGUAACGGCCUACCAAGCCCGCGAUCAGUAGCCGGACUGAGAGGUUGAACGGCCACAUUGGAACUGAGAUACGGUCCAGACUCCUACGGGAGGCAGCAGUGGGGAAUAUUGGGCAAUGGGGGAAACCCUGACCCAGCGACGCCGCGUGAGGGAAGAAGGUCUUCGGAUUGUAAACCUUAAACAACAGGGACGAAGAAAGUGACGGUACCUGUUAGGAAGCCACGGCUAACUACGUGCCAGCCGCCGCAGUAAUAC
rnacentral:rRNA from 1 species